rnacentral:misc_RNA from 1 species
CGCACAUUGCGCCUAUUGGUAUUCCAAUAGGCAUGCCUGUUCGAGCGUCAUUUAACCCUUCAAGCUCUGCUUGGUGUUGGGCACUGUUCGUCUUGCGAACUUGCCUUGAAUAAAUUGGCAGCCUGCAAUUGGGUGUUGGAGCGCAGUACAUUGUGCGCUCUUGGCCAUAAUAGUGGGCGACCAGAAAGCUUAUUUUAACGUUUGACCUCGGAUCAGGUAGGGAUACCCGCUGAACUUAA